UACGUAGGGGGCAAGCGUUGUCCGGAAUUAUUGGGCGUAAAGAGCGCGUAGGCGGUCCGAUAAGUCGGCUGUGAAAGUCAGGGGCUCAACCCUUGAAAGCCGGCCGAUACUGUCGGACUAGAGUCCGGAAGAGGCAAGUGGAAUUCCCGGUGUAGCGGUGAAAUGCGCAGGAUAUCGGGAGGAACACCAAUGGCGAAGGCAGCUUGCUGGGACGGUACUGACGCUGAGGCGCGAAAGCGUGGGGAGCAAACAGG
rnacentral:rRNA from 1 species